rnacentral:rRNA from 1 species
AUUGAACGCUGGCGGUAUGCUUAACACAUGCAAGUCGAACGGUAACAGGCCUUCGGGCGCUGACGAGUGGCGGACGGGUGAGUAACGCGUAGGAAUCUGCCUCAUAGUGGGGACAACGUGGGGAAACUCACGCUAAUACCGCAUACGCCCUACGGGGAAAGACGGGGAGUCUUCGGACCUCGCGCUAUGAGAUGAGCCUGCGUUAGAUUAGCUAGUUGGUAGGGUAAAGGCCUACCAAGGCGACGAUCUAUAGCUGGUCUGAGAGGACGAUCAGCCACACUGGGACUGAGACACGGCCCAGACUCCUACGGGAGGCAGCAGUGGGGAAUAUUGGACAAUGGGCGCAAGCCUGAUCCAGCAAUACCGCGUGUGUGAAGAAGGCCUUAGGGUUGUAAAGCACUUUCAAUUGGGAGGAAAACCUAGCCGGUCAAUACCCGGUAGCUUGACAUUACCUUUAGAAGAAGCACCGGCUAACUCCGUGCCAGCAGCCGCGGUAAU